AAAAACAUUGCUUCAUGAAUCCCGAUAUGAAGUAAUUCCUGCCCAGUGAUUCAACGGCCGCGGUAUCCUAACCGUGCAAAGGUAGCAUAAUCACUUGCCCAUUAAUUGUGGGCUAGAACGAACGGAACAACGAAAUAAGAACUGUCUCCAUAGUUUCCAUAAAAAUUAAUCUUCAAUUGAAGAACAUUGAAUUUCAUUGAAGGACAAGAAGACCCUAUAGAGCUUUAUUUUAAAGGGUAGCGAACCCCCUUAAAAUUCGGUUGGGGCGACCCGGGAAGUAAUAAAUCAUCCCUAUAAAGAAGAUUAAUCAAUCUCACCCUCGACCCUUAUUCAAGAUCACAAGAAUAAGCUACCUUAGGGAUAACAGGCUAAUCCCAUUAAAGAGUCCUUAUUAAUAAUGGGGUUUGGCACCUCGAUGUUGGCUUAGGGAAUCUAUGAGACGCAAAAGUCACAUAAAGAUGGUUUGUUCAACCAAUAAUACCCUACAUGAUCU
rnacentral:rRNA from 1 species